rnacentral:rRNA from 1 species
CCACUUUCAACAACGGAGCUCUUGGUUCUGGCAUCGAUGAAGAACGCAUCGAAAUGCGAUAGGUAGUGUGAAUUGCAGAAUUCACUGAAUCACCGAAUCUUUGAACGCACAUUGCGCCCCUUGGUAUUCCAUGGGGCAUGCCUGUUCGAGCGUCAUUU